UACGUAGGGUGCAAGCGUUGUCCGGAAUUAUUGGGCGUAAAGAGCUCGUAGGCGGUCUGUCGCGUCGGAUGUGAAAACCCAGGGCUCAACCCUGGGCCUGCAUUCGAUACGGGCAGACUAGAGUUCGGUAGGGGAGACUGGAAUUCCUGGUGUAGCGGUGGAAUGCGCAGAUAUCAGGAGGAACACCGAUGGCGAAGGCAGGUCUCUGGGCCGAUACUGACGCUGAGGAGCGAAAGCGUGGGGAGCGAACAGG
rnacentral:rRNA from 1 species